CUAACCGCGCGAAGGUAGCAUAAUCACUUGUUCUUUAAAUGGGGACUUGUAUCAACGGCAUCACGAGGGUUAUACUGUCUCCUUUUUCCAAUCAGUGAAACUAAUCUCCCCGUGAAGCUUCAAACCCAACUACACCCCUAAUUCCUACAACUUCUAAACCAUUGGGGCCCUGUAACAUUGGUUUUAGGCUGGGGCGACCACGGAGUACAACGAAUCCUCCACAAUGAACGGAGCUACUUCCUUAUCUAAGAGCUACACCUCCAAGAAUUAAUACAUUAACAUAAAAUGAUCCUUUUCUGAUCAAUGAACCAAGUUACCCUGGGGAUAACAGCGCAAUCCACUUCAAGAGCCCGUAUCGACAAGUGGGUUUACGACCUCGAUGUUGGAUCAGGGUAUCCUAGUGGUGCAGCAGCUACUAAUGGUUCGUUUGUUCAACGAUUAAAACCCUACGUGAUCU
rnacentral:rRNA from 2 species